ensembl:lncRNA
UUGGGAGCCUUCCAGCGCGGCAGGCAUGUGAUCGGUGGGGGCGGGGGAAGCGGGCGGCUCGCCCGCACCGAAACCGGCGUUGGCCGCGGUACACCUGGCCUGCGGACACCCGGCGACGGCAGGCAGCGGCCACCCGGCACAGACGUCCCGCCCCGCGGCGCGGCCGCACCCGGCAGCGGAUUUUAGGCAUUCCCCUCUGCAGGCCUAACGCGAGUGGCGUGUUACGAGACAGGCAACGAGAGCAGAUCGCUGCUGUUCCACUGCUAGACAGACGCGCGUACACCUGUGGCAACAAACAGAAGAAUCCUGCCCUGUACGUCACAGCGAUCCUCCUUUACCACCUGCUCCGCCACCCACUUCCCUAUCACCCGCUUCCUGGGCAAUGCGUCCUUUACCCGGACCUAAGGGAACACCAGAGGCUGCGCAGGGAGCUGCUCCCAAGCCCUUACAAAGGCACGUGCCCAAGCUUAACUGCGUACUUAGUUGCAGGCAUCUUCGCAAAGGGGGAGUGGCUUCGUGUGUGCUUGCGAAGAUGCAAGGUGGAUCAGGAUGGUACGCAAAAAUAUGAAAACAAGCUCAGAAUCAGAAGAAAUUAUCUGUGCAAGAUAAACUGCGAGGACCUCUUCAUGUUUCAACAAUAAAUUGCACGCAGUUUGGAUAAAAAUAAGUUAUCUUGGUAUUCCUCCUACUAAAUACAAAUAACAUCAGUGGUAGUAAUGAGAAAAAUGUAGACUAAAACAUUAUUUCUUUAACUAUUUAAAUAUUUCAUGUGUUUCUAUUUGGGAAAAAAAGAAAGAAAGAAAGAAAGAAAGUAUCGUAGAAGUGUUGUGUGUGUUUCCUUUAAUUUUAUUGACAGAAGCACCAAAAAACCAAAGAUUCACCUUGUUAAUGACCCCUGGUUUUGGCAAGAUAGUAAGUAUAGGGAGAAGAGAAUAUCUGUUCUUACCAUAAACAGGAAAAAGGCUUUAUAACAGCAGCAUUUGCUAGCACCUCUAAAAUUAACUCUGGGUCAAGCUUUCCAUGAUGAAUGCCUUUUUUAGAGUUAAUACAGAGCAGCUGAGCCUAUAAACACAUUAAAAAGUAUAUUUCAAACAAGUUAGUCUGGGAACUAACUUUUAAAAUAGUACAUUGGAAACAAAAACAUAAAUUUAUACUGAGCAUUCAUUUCCUAUUAUAAAUUGUUGCCUACAGUAUUUCCAUCUCUUCCUGGGAUUGAAAUAUCAGACAAUUUAGGACACAGACAGAUAACUGUAAAUCACAACAAAGCUUACACUGGAGGCACCCCUGGAGAUCACGCAGUUCAACCCUUUGUUGAAACAGAACUAAAUUUAAAGCUCUAUCAGGUUGCUUAGGGCUGUCCAGCCAAGUUUUGGAUAGCUCUAAUGACGUAGUCUCCAUAAUUUUUUUGGUCAAGAAGUUUCAGUGCUCAGUCACCUAAAAGGGACUUUUUUUUUUCCUUUUUUAUCUAUCUGACAUUUCUCUCUUUUAACUAUCUCCUCGGGAAUAUUUAUCACUUUUGAUCACAACUUUCUGUUAGAUAACAUAAAAAAAUACUGUCAGUUAGUUAAAGCUGAGAAAACAGCUCUGGUAAACAUCUUCGAUAUUUUAUAACAGUUAUGCUUUCUUAGAGAUGAAACUGUU